CCUACGGGAGGCAGCAGCAAGGAAUUUUGCGCAAUGGGCGAAAGCCUGACGCAGCAACGCCGCGUGGGGGAUGAAGGCCUUCGGGUUGUAAACCCCUUUUGCGAGGGAAGAAGAUCUGACGGUACCUCGCGAAUAAGCCACGGCUAACUACGUGCCAGCAGCCGCGGUAAUACGUAGGUGGCAAGCGUUGUCCGGAUUUACUGGGCGUAAAGCGCGCGCAGGCGGAUUGGUCAGUCUGGGGUGAAAUCUCACGGCUCAACUGUGAGCGGUCCCUGGAUACUGCCAGUCUUGAGGGGUCUAGAGGAGAGCGGAAUUCCCGGUGUAGUGGUGGAAUGCGUAGAUAUCGGGAAGAACACCAGUGGCGAAAGCGGCUCUCUGGGGAUCACCUGACGCUGAGGCGCGAAAGCGUGGGGAGCGAACCGGAUUAGAUACCCGGGUAGUCCACGCCGUAAACGAUGAGUACUAGCUGUCGGGGGUAUCGACCCCUCCGGUAGCGCAGCUAACGCGUUAAGUACUCCGCCUGGGGACUACGGCCGCAAGGCUAAAACUCAAAUGAAUUGACGG
rnacentral:rRNA from 1 species